rnacentral:tRNA from 1 species
ACCGCGAUAGCUCAGUGGUAGAGCCAUCUGCCCGGUAUGCGGAAGGGUCGCCGUUCGAUUCCGGCUCGCGGCG